AAUAAAGAAAGAAAAAAAUUUAAAACGAGAACAAGUUGAGGUUAAGGGAAGAAUGCUUUUUUUUAGAGUAUAAAUAUAUGACACAUUCUGCAUUUAAACAAAAGUGCCCUAGCCAAAUAUAUUACAAUGUAAAGUAAUAGUACGGAAAGCUAAGGUAAAUAUUCACUUAACAGUUACUUGAAUUAUUAUCUUGUUAAUUGUCCAGAAAUAAAAGUGAGUUUCAAAUUUUAGAUCUAUUUAGCUGAACUGAAAACACAGGAGAUUGCAGAUUUUUUCGCUACUUUGGCCUCCAAUAUGAAAUUUACUCUGAAUUCCCUUCCUCUUUGUGACAAUUUACACAUGAAUUGAGGUUAUCUAGGC